GGGCGCAUAGCUCAGCUGGUUAGAGCGCUCGCUUCACAUGCGAGAGGUCAGAGGUUCAAGUCCUCUUGCGCCCA
rnacentral:tRNA from 1 species